GAAGGAGGAUGCAAGCGUGAUCCGGAAUUAUUGGGCGUAAAGCGUAUGUAGGUGGCUUGUCAAGUCCUUUGUCAAAGCGUGGAGCUUAACUCCAUAACGGCGAGGGAAACUGGUAGGCUAGAGUACAGUAGGGGUAGGAGGAAUUCCCGUUGUAGCGGCGAAAUGCGUAGAUAUCGGGAAGAACACCAGUGGCGAAAGCGUCCUACCAAGCUGUCACUGACACUGAGGUACGAAAGCUAGGGGAGCGAAUGGG
rnacentral:rRNA from 1 species